CCAAGCUACGAAGAGCCAACGGUGGAUGCCUUGGCGCCUGAAGCCGAAGAAGGACGUGGGUGGCUGCGAAAAGCCACGGGGAGCUGUCGACCAAGCUUUGAUCCGUGGAUGUCCGAAUGGGGAAACCCGGCACCCGUCAUGGGGUGUCACUCCGGCCUGAACACAUAGGGCCGGUAGAGGGAACCGGGGGAAUUGAAACAUCUCAGUACCCCGAGGAGAGGAAAGCAACAGCGACUCCCUUAGUAGCGGCGAGCGAAAGGGAACGAGCCUAAACCGAGCCAGUGGAAUAGUCUGGUGGCGUUGCCGUGUCGGUGUCGUGGGACCUGCGUGAAGGGGCAUCAGACCCUUCAAGGAGUUACAAAUCUCUGACCUAGUGGAAGUGUUCUGGAAAGGCACUCCGCAGAGGGUAAGAGACCCGUACACGAAAGGUUGGAGACUCCUGCCGGGAUCCCGAGUAGCGCCGGAACCGGGAAAGCCGGCGUGAAUCUGCGAGGACCACCUCGUAAGGCUAAGUACUAGCAGGCGACCGAUAGUGAACUAGUACCGUGAGGGAAAGGUGAAAAGCACCCCGGGAGGGGAGUGAAAUAGUACCUGAAACCGUUAACUUACAAACAGUCAGAGCGUUGUUGACCCUGUCACUUCGGUGACAGGAUGUCAAGCGUGAUGGCGUGCCUUUUGAAGAAUGAGCCAGCGAGUUACCGUGCGUGGCGAGGUUAACCUGAGAAGGGGAGCCGUAGCGAAAGCGAGUCUGAAAUGGGCGAUUUAGUCGCGUGCGGUAGACCCGAAGCCGAGUGAUCUAGCCAUGGGCAGGCUGAAGCGAGGGUAAGACCUCGUGAAGGGCCGAACCCACCCUGGUUGAAAACAGGGGGGAUGACCUGUGGCUAGGGGUGAAAGGCCAAUCAAACUCGGUGAUAGCUGGUUCUCCCCGAAAUGCAUUUAGGUGCAGCGUCAGACGUUCAGCAUCGGAGGUAGAGCACUGAAUGGGCUAGGGGGCCCCACAAGCUUACUGACCCCAAUCAAACUCCGAAUGCCGAUGCUCAAGAGUCUGGCAGUGAGACCACGAGGGAUGAGCUUCGUUGGUCGAGAGGGAAACAGCCCAGACCGCCAGCUAAGGCCCCAAAUUCUUGGCUAAGUGGAAAACGAUGUGGGAACGCAGAGACAGCCAGGAGGUUGGCUUAGAAGCAGCCAUCCUUAAAAGAGUGCGUAAUAGCUCACUGGUCGAGUGGUCCUGCGCGGACAAUGUAACGGGGCUCAAGCCAAGAGCCGAAGCUGCGGAUUUCCAGCCUACCGUUUGUUCGCUGAGAGACGAGCAGUUGCGUUCGGUCACCUAUGGUGAUUGGAUGCAACUGGGAGUCAAACAGUGAUAUUGCGGGUUUGGGCUGGGAGUGGUAGGGGAGCGUCGAUCAUGCAGCGAAGCGGUGGCGUAAGCCAACGUGGAGUAUGGUCGAGUGAGAAUGCUGGCAUGAGUAGCGAGAGAGGGGUGAGAAACCCCUCCGCCGAAAGCCCAAGGGUUCCUGGGGAAGGCUAAUCCGCCCAGGGUCAGUCGGGAGCUAAGGCGAGGCCGAGAGGCGUAGUCGAUGCACAACUGGUUGAUAUUCCAGUACCAUCGUGCCCGCGCCCAAGCUUAUGGAGUCGCCGAAAGUGAUCAAGUCGGUUGCUUUCGGUGGAUUCUGUGAGCUAGCGAUGGGGGGACGCAGGAGGGUAGGUGAUCCCAGGUGUUGGUUGUCCUGGGGGAAACGUGUAGGGUGAGGUCCGGUAAAUACAGACCUCGUGUGCCUGAGACGUGAUCCCGAGCCGCUUCAGGUGAAGUCAUUGAUCCCAAGCUGCCAAGAAAAGCCCCUAGCGAGCUGGCACGGUGCCCGUACCCCAAACCGACACAGGUGGGCAGGUAGAGAAUACCAAGGCGAGCGGGAGAACUGUGGUUAAGGAACUCGGCAAAAUACCUCCGUAACUUCGGGAGAAGGAGGGCCUCGAUAGGGUGACGGACCAUGCGUCCUGAGCUCGAGGGGGUCGCAGAGACCAGGGGAAAGCGACUGUUUACUAAAAACACAGGAGCGUGCGAAGUCGUAAGACGAUGUAUACGCUCUGACGCCUGCCCGGUGCCGGAAGGUUACGGGGAGAGGUUAGCUUGUUCGCAAGCGAAGCUCUGAACCUAAGCCCCGGUAAACGGCGGCCGUAACUAUAACGGUCCUAAGGUAGCGAAAUUCCUUGUCGGGUAAGUUCCGACCUGCACGAAUGGCGUAACGACUUUCCUACUGUCUCAACCACAGACCCGGCGAAAUUGAAGUACGAGUAAAGAUGCUCGUUAGCUGCAUCAGGACGGAAAGACCCCGUGGACCUUUACUACAGCUUGAUGUUGAGUCUUGGCACGGAUUGUGUAGGAUAGGUGGGAGCCAGGGAAGCUCGGGCGCCAGCUCGGGUGGAGGCAACCUUGAAAUACCACCCUGUCCGUGCUGGGGUUCUAACCUCGGUCCGUGAUCCGGAUCAGGGACAGCGUCAGGUGGGUAGUUUGACUGGGGCGGUCGCCUCCUAAAAGGUAACGGAGGCGCCCAAAGGUUCCCUCAGGCUGGUUGGCCAUCAGCCGUCGAGUGCAAUGGCAUAAGGGAGCUUGACUGCGAGACCUACAAGUCGAGCAGGUGCGAAAGCAGGGCAUAGUGAUCCGGCGGUAGCGUGUGGAAGCGCCGUCGCUCAACGGAUAAAAGGUACCCCGGGGAUAACAGGCUCAUCUUCCCCAAGAGUCCAUAUCGACGGGAAGGUUUGGCACCUCGAUGUCGGCUCGUCGCAUCCUGGGGCUGAAGCCGGUCCCAAGGGUUGGGCUGUUCGCCCAUUAAAGCGGUACGCGAGCUGGGUUUAGAACGUCGUGAGACAGUUCGGUCCCUAUCCGAUGCAGCCGUAGGAGAUCUGAGGAAAGCUGUCCCUAGUACGAGAGGACCGGGACGGACGUAGCUCUUGUGUGCCAGUUGUCCUGCCAAGGGCACGGCUGGUUGGCAACCUACGGACGAGAUAAGCGCUGAAAGCAUCUAAGUGCGAAGCUCAUUCCAAGAUGAGAUCUCCCACAGGGUUAACCUGGUAAGGCCCGUGGCAGACUACCACGUUGAUAGGCCGGAGGUGUAAGUGCGGCAACGCACUCAGCCGACCGGUACUAAUCGGCCGAGGACUUGGGACA
rnacentral:rRNA from 1 species